AGGGUGUAAACGCUGCAGACUUGGUGUUGGGAACCCUUCGGGGGUGCUCAGUGCCGGAGAGAAGUUGUUAAGUCUGCUACUUGGGGAGUACGUCCGCAAGGAUGAAACUUAAAGGAAUUGGCGGGGGAGCACCGCAACGGGAGGAGCGUGCGGUUUAAUUGGAUUCAACGCCGAAAAACUCACCAGCAGCGACUGUUACAUGAAAGUCAGGUUGAUGACCUUACUAGAUUUUCAGAGAGGUGGUGCAUGGCGUCAGUG
rnacentral:rRNA from 1 species